rnacentral:sRNA from 1 species
ACCCAUGAAUGUGACCUGUAUCACUUCAAAGUUGUGCGCUCAGCCAGUAUCAUCAGAAGAGUUAAACCCUCGCUGCCAGACGGCGAGGGUUUUCUUUUGG